GUUCAAUCACACCCUUCCGCCCCCACGUUCUGACUGUGGCAUGAGCGGGUGCUUUCUCUUCUCCCCUCAGCCCACAGGGAUUUCCAAGACAGGUCCAGCUUGCUCUCUGCGACACAUCCCUUCUGUGUGAGUCUCUGUUUCAUUCAGCCAGCUGCAGCAGGGUGGAACGAGACAGUGUAGACCAAGGAAGUGGACAGGGUUUGAAGGAACACUUCAGCCCACGUGACUCCCUUUAGUCACCAACUGCCUGGGGAACCAGACAGUGUGCAUCACUGUCAAUGGGUCGUGGAAUGGAGGUGAGAGUUCUGUAGGUCACUGGCACAGCAAGCUGCUCUGUCACCUGUGCACAGAUGUGCGCUGGAUUUCCCCUGUAUGAGUGUCUUGGUUUCUCUCUUGUUAACCAACAAAUCACCUGCAGACCUUGUGGCUUUAGGUGUCAACGGGUUUCACCACUCCUGCGGUUCCUGGGGAUGGGGAAAUGAGGAAGAGUUUCACAAAACACUGCAGUGUCUGCAGCUGCGGCCCAGCGAGGGGUUGAGCAUACCAGGAGGGAGAUUGAGCUUUCUCCCAUCAUGGCUGCCUCAGGACCUCAACAAAGCCUCUGAAGAGCUCACCCAGCAAAUGGGGUGGCAGCUGCCUGGUCUUUUGCGACCCAGCCUUGGAGGUCACUUCCACCGUGCUUGUAGAUUGAAAUGGCCCCCAAAGUCUAGCUGGUGCAGGGGUGUGGCUCACACCUGUAAUCCCAGCCACUGGGAAGGCCUUGAGGUGGGAGGAACCCAAAUUUGAAGUCAGUCUGGGUUACAUAAUAAGACUCUUCACCAGAUAACAGCUAAAACAAACAAACAAACAAACAAACAAACAAACAAAGGAAUCUUGGUUUUGGAAGGGGUAUGAGAGUCUGUUGAUAAGUCAGAGACAGAGUGCUGUUCUUUUGGUUUUUUUUUUUUAAACUAUUAUGUUAUUAAAAUUAUAUGUAUGGCUUGGGUGGUAGUGAUGGACACCUUUAAUGUCAGAGGUCAGAGAACAACUUCCCUUCCCUUCUAUCCUGUGGGUCCUGGGGUUAGAACUCAGGUUAUUGGGUGCAACAGCCCCUCCCACCCCCAGCCAUCUCUCCAGCCCCCAUACCUUGCAUUUUUGAGACACAGUGUUGCUAUAUUAACCAGGCUGGCCUUGAACUCUCAAUUCUCCUUCCUCUUCUUCCCAAGUUCUGGGAGCCAAGGCUAGGCUUGCUUAUUUACUUUGAUUCAAGGUCUCCAGGGACUCAAAUGAUCCUACUGCCUCAGCCUCCCAAGUAGCCAGGGCUACAGGUAGGAAUCACUGUUGCCUGCUUACUACAGACACAUUGUUAAGACAGAGGCAUUCUGGGAAGAUGUUGAUUAGAGGGAGAAAAAUUUCAAACUUUAAGAUUCCUAGCAGUAGUGGACAAGGUGUCUCCUCCGGGAAAAGGUGCUUUCACCAAGCCCGAUGACCUGAGUUCAAUCCCCACCAUCUACAUGGUGAAAGGAGAAUGCCCACUCCCACAUGUUGCUCUCUGACCUCCACAGGCACAUCUGUACUACAGACGUGCCUCCUCUCCAGUAAAUAAAUGAAAACAAAAACAAAACAAAACAAAACAAAACAACAACAAAAGCAACCCACCAAAACCAGCCCCUCCCUGGGGGAUUCUAGGCAGGGGCUCUCCCUCAGGAUUACAACCUGACCCCUGAGGUUGUUUUAGUUUGAAUUUUUGGACAGGGUCUUACUGUGCAGGCCUAGCUGGCCUCAAUCUCAGAGGUCCACCUGCAUAUGCCUCCUGAGCGCUGGGAUUAAAGGUGUGUGCAACC
rnacentral:lncRNA from 1 species